CUUAUUAAUUUAGUUACAAGUCACAUUGAAUUGCUGUUGCAGUAAGAGGCGCUAAGCAUGUUAAAUGUUAUUUGUCACAUAUGAAAUUACGUUCUUAAUACUAUAUGAAGAUAUGAUUACUUUGUUAAAUACUUGUUGAUUGUUUUCUUUAUUAAGUUCAAUGUUGGAAGGACUUAUUUUUGCUGACAUCCUAGAAGGACCAUUCUUGCAUCAUAUUGUAGGUGAUCUGCACCCGAGCCCGAUAUCGUAGGAGAACCAUUCUUGCAUCAGAUUGGUUUAGCACAUGAACGCGUCAUCCUCGUAAUAUCAGCGAGGGGACGGAUGUAAAAUUUAAUUCUUCAUGGCGUUUUACUCUAAUGUCGUAAGAGAUGUACCUGUAGAACGUGUAUUGUUUGAUAAAUUGUACGUUUCGUACGUUGUUAUAUCAA